rnacentral:rRNA from 1 species
UACGUAGGGGGCGAGCGUUGUCCGGAGUUACUGGGCGUAAAGAGUGUGUAGGCGGUGCUCUAAGUUUGGUGUGAAAUCUCCCGGCUCAACUGGGAGGGUGCGCCGAAAACUGGAAUGCUUGAACAUGGGAGAGGAAAGCGGAAUUCCUGGUGUAGCGGUGAAAUGCGUAGAUAUCAGGAGGAACACCUGCGGUGUAGACGGCUUUCUGGACCAUUGUUGACGCUGAGACACGAAAGCGUGGGUAGCAAACAGG